AAACCAGCACCUCAAGUGGUCAGGAGGAUUAUUGGGCCUAAAGCAUCCGUAGCCUGCUCUGUAAGUUUCCGGUUAAAUCCAUUAGCUCAACUGAUGGGCCGCCGGAAAAACUGCAAAGCUAGGGAGUGGGAGAGGUAGACGGUACUCGGUAGGAAGGGGUAAAAUCCUUUGAUCUAUUGAUGACCACCAGUGGCGAAGGCGGUCUACCAGAACACGUUCGACGGUGAGGGAUGAAAGCUGGGGGAGCAAACCGGAUUAGAAACCCCGGUAGUCC
rnacentral:rRNA from 1 species